GAAAUAAAUUUCAUCAUUCGAUUUAGAAUACAGAGUCACUUUGUUGAGAUCUGUCACGAUGAGAAGAAAGAGAGCCAAGAAUGAGCGCAGUACAUCGUUGAAGAUGACUCUAAAUCAAGUGCUGCGAGAAGAGUAUCGUGCACCAUUCAUCGAUCAGGUCACAUACUGGUGCCUUUCGGCCACAAUGAUUACGACUCUGGCGUCAUUACUGUUUUUGUUCAAAGCAAACAAAGCCUUUGACGAUGAAAAUGUUCGAUUUUUUAAAGGUGAAUCCGAUGAAUACACGAAUGAUGAAUUCAAUAAAUACGUGAAUGGUGUAAUUGGUGAAUGUUUCACCUCGGUAUUACAAGAAAAUUACCACAAAUUACCGCUUGCAUUUCGACGAACUGUGGAGCAAGCAUGUCCUGAUUUUCUUCGUCCAGAAAAUUGGCCAUCUCGCGAGGGCAUGGGGAACGCAUUCAAUCAUCUCAUCACUCAGUACAUAACAAACGUGAAAAAUAACAUCAGAGUAUGGGCAUUCAGUCGCAUCAAGAAAUUUUUCACGCUAAAGCGCUACGAACUGAAUUUGAAUCGACAAGAAAAUCUCAUCACUGAAUUGGAUGUAAAACGUGCGACGAAGAUCGUAAUGUUCCAGAGUAGAGUCGAAAGAAUAUAGAGAUAGACAUAUAGAUAUGGAUUGAUCAAAUGUUAUCAUCGCUGAAUUAUAAUUACCGAGUCAUUCCCAAAUUGAAUACACACAUACCAUAUAGAAUUUGGAUCGAGUUGGUAAUGCGUAUAAAAUUCAAUUUGUUCAAAAUAUUGUUUUUGUGUAUUCUCCUUUGUGAGAAUUUCUUUCGUUUAUUAGAAGACAAAUGAAAUUACUAUGUGCAUUUUUAAUCUAUUAUUCUCGAUUCUAAUUAAUCUUCUUUGGUAAUUUGAAACAACUUAUAUUUUUCUAUUCUUUAUAUUUUACUCACAAUUUGUAGUAAAGUUUGUUUUCAACAAGAAGAACAGAAGGAAAAAAAUAAAACAAUUUCUUUUCUUUUGCAAUACUACUGAUAUCUAAUGAGAAACUAAAAUUAAUCGUUUUCACAUUUUAUUUUAUUUAACAAAUAAAUAGGCCAAGUAAUUAUGCCAUUGAUGAUAUUGAACAUUUCAGACUUUAAUUUUUUGCUAAAUAUAUAGCAAUAAAUAUUUCUAUAGAAUAAAAAUAUUUGAUAGCUUUGAAGGUAUGCGUGAGCCGAGAUACGUGUGCUACACACUUCAUUUCCCCUUCGGAACGCUGUGUGUCAUUGCAAUAUAUUUAGUAAAAAAUGAAAGUCUGGAACAUUUAUUUUGAAAUAUUGAUUAGGUCAGGCCUUUUUGUUUUAAAACUAUAUAGCCGGUCUCAUCACAUUUGAUAAGUGUGGUCACUGGUCAAUGAUGUAUGAAAUGCAAUAAUAAAAAAACACUCAAAAACAUAUUGAGUUCUGAUUGGGUGAACAGUAAA